UAGGGAAUCUUCCACAAUGGACGAAAGUCUGAUGGAGCAACGCCGCGUGAGUGAUGAAGGGUUUCGGCUCGUAAAACUCUGUUGUUGGAGAAGAACGGGUGUCAGAGUAACUGUUGACAUCGUGACGGUAUCCAACCAGAAAGCCACGGCUAACUACGUGCCAGCAGCCGCGGUAAUACGUAGGUGGCAAGCGUUGUCCGGAUUUAUUGGGCGUAAAGCGAGCGCAGGCGGUUUUUUAGGUCUGAUGUGAAAGCCUUCGGCUUAACCGGAGAAGUGCAUCGGAAACCGGGAGACUUGAGUGCAGAAGAGGACAGUGGAACUCCAUGUGUAGCGGUGAAAUGCGUAGAUAUAUGGAAGAACACCAGUGGCGAAGGCGGCUGUCUGGUCUGCAACUGACGCUGAGGCUCGAAAGCAUGGGUAGCGAACAGGAUUAGAUACCCUGGUAGUCCAUGCCGUAAACGAUGAGUGCUAAGUGUUGGAGGGUUUCCGCCCUUCAGUGCUGCAAGCUAACGCAUUAAGCACUCCGCCUGGGGGAGUACGACCGCAAGGUUGAA
rnacentral:rRNA from 1 species